rnacentral:rRNA from 1 species
GGGUGCGAUCAUACCAGCACUAAUGCACCGGAUCCCAUCAGAACUCCGAAGUUAAGCGUGCUUGGGCGAGAGUAGUACUAGGAUGGGUGACCUCUUGGGAAGUCCUCGUGUUGCACCCC